GGUAUAGUCCCGAAGCCCACUCAUGUAUCCAAGAUUAGAAGAAAUGAACACGCAGACAGUGUUGGUGUCGUUUGAAGAUCUGGUUAUUGAAUUUACCCAGGAGGAAUGGAAGAUCAUGGACACUGCUCAGAGGACCCUGUACAGGGAUGUGAUGCUUGAGACCUAUGGCAAUCUGCUUUCCUUGGGAUACUACAUUUGCAAGCCUGAUGUGACUUUGGGACAAGGAGCAAUGCCAUGGACAGUGGAAAAACCUGUCAAUGAGCAAGAUUUAGAUGCCCAUAGAAAGAGUGAACUAGUUGGAAAUCAGAAGAGUCAAGAAAUAAACUUAAGGAAAGUUGUAAUCACCAUGUCAAGUUUAAAUGUACAGAAGAGAGUUCACACAGAUGUGAAACUUUAUGAAUGUAAAGACUGUGGGAAAGCUUUUGGUGACACGUUAUUUUUCAGUAUGUAUCAGGGAAAUCACACAGGAAUGAGACCAUAUGAGUGUACAAAGUGUGCAAAAGUUUUUUGUAAUCACUCAGACCUAAUCACACAUCAAAGAAUUCACACAGGGGAGAAACCUUAUGAAUGUAAAGAGUGUGUAAUAGCAUUUUGCCAGCCAUCACACCUAAGCAAACAUCAGAUAAUUCACAGAGAGAAGAAAUCUCAUGAAUGUGUAGAGUGUGGAAAAGUCUUCGGUUAUAAAUCAGUUCUCAAUGCACAUCAGAGAAUUC